rnacentral:rRNA from 1 species
UACGGAGGAUCCUAGUGUUAUCCGGAUUUAUUGGGUUUAAAGGGAGCGUAGGCGGGAGGUAAAGUCAGCUGUGAAAUGUAUCUGCUUAACGGGUACACUGCAGUUGAAACUGGUUUUCUCGAGUGCGUAAGAGGCAGGCGGAAUUCGUUGUGUAGCGGUGAAAUGCUUAGAUAUGACGAGGAACUCCUAUUGCGAAGGCAGCUUGCUGGGUCGUUACUGACGCUGAUGCUCGAAGGUGCGGGGAUCAAACAGGAUUAGAUACCCGGGUA